GUUUGACGGGCAAUUCAUUCUGUGAAUUGAUUUCGUCCCGGGGUCAAAAUUGUCAAAUUUACCGGGUUUCCAGCGGAGAUCGUGUGGAGGCAGAGAAAGGAAGACGAGCGCGGGGAACGGUAAAUCAGAAGGCGGCCGCCGCGGCCUCGGUGGCGCUGCUUGGGUCACUGAAGAUGGGGAAGAUGGAGAGGGGAGAGAAGCGUAGCAGGGCGGUCGCGGCGGCGCUAGAAGUUUGAGUGAUUGGAGCGCCGGCGAAAGGAGGAGCGCAGCAUCGACCCAGCCUGCCUGCCGCCGACGACCAAGCCUCAGGUAUGCGCGCGCUCCACGGGGCCUAGCAAAGAGAGCGCCGUAAUGCAGUUUAGCCCCGUUCAGUAGCUGCGCAAGGACCAGAGCCACUCCCUUGGCCGAUUUACAAGGGUCAGGAUCGCUCACAGGCAAAACGAAUCGACAAUUCUGGCUUCAAGUUUCCAAAGACCUUGUACCCAGAAUCUUCUAAGAAUCAAAUCAAGGGGAGAGGGGAGAAUACGCCCCGGCAGCUCCCCGAGAACGAGCGUCCAUUUCCUACAUCUCGGGGAAGCGGAAGCGCCCUGAACCCCUCGCCGAUUCGAGCGACGACUACUCAAGAAGUUUCCUUCCCUCUCACGACAAUGACGCCAACGGCCGCCUCAGGUUCGUCUGCUUCCCCCUUUUUUUCUCGGAUCAAGAGCAGAGCCGCCACAGAGCAGAGGCUUGUGCAGCUUGGGCAGGAGAUGUACAUGGUGUCAAGUAGUGAAGCUUUUGAUUCGUACUUCUGUACAUGUGCUUGAGAAUAUUUGCUUCUCAUUUUAACAUAGGAAGCCUGGUUGUAACCUGACUGAGUUGAUGAUACAUCACCUGGCAUCUGGUAGUUUCGUUCUUGCUGCUAGCUUUAUCUGCUCAAGAAUGAGAUGCUAAACUGUGCUAGUCUCUAGCCUCUAGACUGCAGUGACUGCAACAUGUUUUUGUGUCUGCAGAAGUCCGAAGUAUAGACUUGUCAAUUUUUAAUUGGUUCUAACUUGUAACACAGAGGUGAAGAGCACCAAACCAUGUACUUGACAACAUCAAGAUGCAUAUGCUUAGUUUUCAACACUUUGAUCAUUAUUAGCAAUAUAUGGUGCUUGAUCUUCUAUUUUUUUAGCAAUUAAUAUAGAGUGCUAAAUAUUCAAUAUAUAGGCUUAAUUUUCAAUCAGAACAACAAAAGACACAAAAGGUUACGGUUUACUCACUGUAAAGGGAUGCAUUGUUGUCUGGUGGUUGAGCUGGACCGAGCAGACACCCAUACAGAGCGAGCCAGAGCGUGGCUCUGACUGAACUUGGCUCGACUCCAGCCCUACCCUCUAUAUAUACCGAGGUGAGCGGGGAUUGUGGUUAUUGCCUCUGAUUGCUUCUAACUAUCUCAUAAUCUCGUAUACAGUUCAUUGAAAAUAUGAAGGGGAGCAGCGUAGUGGUUGCUGUUUUCUUUGUCGGGUGCCUAAUCAUGGUUGGACAAUGUCGCCCUGACCCCAAGAGCACCUACAAAGAUGGCCAUGACAACACGACUAUGGUGGCCUCAUCAUUAGAUGAGAGCAAACUUACCAUAAAAUGGUGUGUCGCAAGGAAUUGUAACACCAAAGGCGGUCUCUCUACGUCGGUUGUAACCCUGUGCUUUAAUGCUUAAGACAAUUACAAUGACACGAUCGCCAAUCCAUCUGCUGGAGUACAUAAUUGUAUAUGUGAUUUGGACAGUGUUGUAAGCACUGUUUGAAUACUGCCGCAUUGACUAGUUAUUUCUUCAAGCCGGCAGACGAAAACUGAUAUGCAGCUGUGUGUCACAUCCGCACCAAGAUAAUGCGUGCCUUGAGGAACUACGCCAACGGCCAGCUUGAGGGCCGCAUUGUCACGCUCCCAUACAUAAGCAAGUAGGAAAACUCGUAGAAGCAACAUCCAGUUUGCAAGGAACGAUUUGAUGUAAAUUGUUUGUCAUGGAAGCAGAAUUGUUUGUCCAUGAAACUAUGGAAGCAAAAUCUUUCAUC